rnacentral:rRNA from 1 species
CGGAGGGGGCCAGCGUUGUUCGGAAUUAUUGGGCGUAAAGGGCGCGUAGGCGGCUUUGUAAGUCCGUUGUGAAAUCCCUCGGCUCAACCGAGGAACUGCGACGGAUACUGCUUGGCUUGAGUCCCGGAGAGGGUAGCGGAAUUCCCAGUGUAGCGGUGAAAUGCGUAGAUAUUGGGAGGAACAUCGGUGGCGAAGGCGGCUACCUGGACGGGUACUGACGCUGAUGCGCGAGAGCUAGGGGAGCAAACAGGAUUAGAUACCCUGGUAGUCCUAGCUGUAAACGAUGGGCACUUGGUGUUGCGGGUAUCGACCCCUGCAGUGCCGAAGCUAACGCAUUAAGUGCCCCGCCUGGGGAGUACGGUCGCAAGGCUG